AAUUUACGCUUAUCCAUACUUGUAUAAAACUACCUCAUUAAUGUUUGCUUACGACUUACCCUAACCUUUUCAGCGUAACCUUGGCCCGUCGCCGUCAAUAGUGUUUCGUUUAUUAUCCUAUUCAAGCUGAAGACGGGCGCGGAACUAUUUAAAGCUCGGUCUGGUUCGAUUCGUGAUGCAAUGUUGCAAAAUAACCGAACUUUUAGAAUUUAUUUGGCACAGGUGGCAACGCUUUUUCCAUACAUUGAAAGUCCAGACCAGCAGGAACAUUAUCUGACAUGACUGGGCAGUAGCCGGGAUCCGUAUUAAAUAUGAGAUCCGGCGCGCAUUUCAUAUUUCAAGCUGGGCCCUCACACGGGAAUUCUCCUAACCGAGAUUUGUUCUCAUCAAAUUUACAUCUUUUGCUUACGGACAAGUGCGCAGAGCCCCGUUAGAACCUGGGUUAGAUAGAUGACACGGGGAUUGUUUAUAGUUACAACAUUUACUGCAGUUUUGUCACUUGAAGCUUACAUUUGUAUGAAAAAAGCGAUUGUUAUUAAAAAUUAUGUAUUCAUCAUUUUAUUUCGCGUUUUCUUGUGAAUCAUUCAGGUUGUCUUUGAACGAUGUUUGAAGUUAUUUAUUGUUCACAUGAACGUAUUUUUUUUUAUUUAUCUUAUUUGUUUUUUUUGAUAUUAUCGCGACGGGGAAAUAAAACAACUUGUACAUAUUUCAACUCCCCACACACACAAAAUAGCUUUAGAUGUUGCUGGCUUGUCCUACUGCUCCAGUAGCGACCAUUUAGAAGAAGAAAC